UACGAAGGGGGCUAGCGUUGUUCGGAAUUACUGGGCGUAAAGCGCACGUAGGCGGGUUGUUAAGUCAGGGGUGAAAUCCUGGAGCUCAACUCCAGAACUGCCUUUGAUACUGGCAACCUAGAGACUGGAAGAGGUUAGUGGAAUUCCCAGUGUAGAGGUGAAAUUCGUAGAUAUUAGGAAGAACACCAGUGGCGAAGGCGGCUCACUGGUCCGGUACUGACGCUGAGGUGCGAAAAGCGUGGGGAGCAAACAGG
rnacentral:rRNA from 1 species